AAAGCGCAUUCUCAUCCAUAUAUAUAACUGGUUUAAUAUAUAUAUAGAUAUAUUUAUAGUAAAUUCUAUUUUUUGUUCUUCUUCUUCUGCUCUUAUCUGCCGCCUCCAACGGUUUUUAAAACCCCAUUCCCAUCCAUAUAUAUAAUAUAAUAGGUUUAAUAUAUAUAAAUAUAUAUUUAUAGUAAAUUCUAUUAUUUGUUCUUCUUCUCCUUUUGUCUGCCGCAUCCAACAGAAAGAGAUUGUUUUUUCAUUGCAGAAAGCACAAAAUCCAGCCAUGGAAAAAAUGAAACGAAGCUUCAGUUGAUGAUAUGUGAGAACAGUUAAUCAUGCAGGCUCACCAUCAUUGAAUUGUUCACUUUCUUUGGAUCAAGAAAAUAUUUCUCAAACAGAUCACAGUCGACCGAGAAAGCGAGGGAGAAAGAAGACAAAUAAUUGUACAAUCGAAAAUAUUCCUGAUAGCUCUACAAAAUUAAAAGCACCAACUUUUUGUAAGCAUUACAAUGCAAAAAAAUG